ACGGUAGCACAGAGGAGCUUGCUCUUGGGUGACGAGUGGCGGACGGGUGAGUAAUGUCUGGGGAUCUGCCCGAUAGAGGGGGAUAACCACUGGAAACGGUGGCUAAUACCGCAUAACGUCGCAAGACCAAAGAGGGGGACCUUCGGGCCUCUCACUAUCGGAUGAACCCAGAUGGGAUUAGCUAGUAGGCGGGGUAAUGGCCCACCUAGGCGACGAUCCCUAGCUGGUCUGAGAGGAUGACCAGCCACACUGGAACUGAGACACGGUCCAGACUCCUACGGGAGGCAGCAGUGGGGAAUAUUGCACAAUGGGCGCAAGCCUGAUGCAGCCAUGCCGCGUGUAUGAAGAAGGCCUUCGGGUUGUAAAGUACUUUCAGCGGGGAGGAAGGCGACGGGGUUAAUAACUCUGUCGAUUGACGUUACCCGCAGAAGAAGCACCGGCUAACUCCGUGCCAGCAGCCGCGGUAAUACGGAGGGUGCAAGCGUUAAUCGGAAUUACU
rnacentral:rRNA from 1 species